CACGUAGGGGACGAGCGUUGUCCGGAUUCAUUGGGCGUAAAGCGCGCGUAGGCGGCUCGGAAAGUCGGGCGUGAAAUCCCGAGGCUCAACCUCGGGCCUGCAGUGGGUACGGGCAGACUGGAGUGCGGUAGGGGAGAAUGGAAUUCCUGGUGUAGCGGUGGAAUGCGCAGAUAUCAGGAGGAACACCGAUGGCGAAGGCAGUUCUCUGGGCCGUAACUGACGCUGAGGAGCGAAAGCGUGGGGAGCGAACAGG
rnacentral:rRNA from 1 species